AUAUCUCUCUGUACGGGAAGGAUGAGAAGCUUCGACUAAGGUUCGAUUCGAGCGCAGCGAGAAAGCGU
rnacentral:sRNA from 1 species